GUGCUGCUGAAGAAUCCCAAACUAGUGGGACGAAACAACUGUCCAGUAC
rnacentral:hammerhead_ribozyme from 1 species